rnacentral:rRNA from 1 species
CCUACGGGUGGCAGCAGUGAGGAAUAUUGGUCAAUGGCCGGAAGGCUGAACCAGCCAAGCCGCGUGAAGGACGAAGGUGCCAAGCAUUGUAAACUUCUUUUGUCAAGGGACAAAAUCAGGCUCGAGAGCCUGACCGAGGGUACUUGAAGAAAAAGCAUCGGCUAACUCCGUCCCAGCAGCCCCGGUAAUACGGAGGAUGCGAGCGUUAUCCGGAUUUAUUGGGUUAAAAGGGUGCGUAGGCGGACUGUUAAGUCAGCGGUAAAAGCCCGGGGCUCAACCCCGGCGAGCCGUUGAAACUGGCGGUCUUGAGAGGGCGAGAGGUAUGCGGAAUGCGUAGUGUAGCGGUGAAAUGCAUAGAUAUUGCGCAGAACUCAGAUUGCGAAGGCAGCAUACCGGUGGAGAACUGACGCUGAGGCACGAAAGCGUGGGUAUCGAACAGGAUUAGAGACCCCAGUAGUC